CUCAGGACGAACGCUGGCGGCGUACUUAACACAUGCAAGUCGAACGGGACCAGUGUGCAACUCUGGUUCAGUGGCGGACGGGUGCGUAACACUGUGAGGAACAUGACCUUCGGCGGGGGAUAGCCUGGCCCAACGGCCUGGGUAAUACCGGUACGACCACUCUGGGACAUCCCUAGUGGUGAAAGCAGCAAUGCGCCGAUGGAGUGCCUCGCGGCCUAUCACUAUUGGUGAGGUAACGGUCACCAAGGCGACGACGGUAGCUGGUCUGAGAGGAUGGCCAGCCACACUGGCACUGCGACACGGGCCAACUCCUACGGGAGGCAGCAGUAAGGAAUAUUGCGCAAUGGGCUGAAAGCCUGACGCAGCGACGCCUGCGUGGGGGAUGAAGGUCUUCGGAUUGUAAACCCCUUUCGGGAGGGAAGAUGGAAUGGGGGUAACCCAUUCGGACGGUACCUCCAGAAGCAGCCACGGCUAACUUCGUGCCAGCAGCGCGGUAAUACGAAGGUGGCAAGCGUAUUCGGAUUUACUGGGCGUACAGGAGCGUAGGCGGUUCGGUAGCCCUCUGUGAAAUCUCCAGGUACUGAACAGUCGGAGGGGACUUGCUGGGCUAAGGACGGGAGCAGAGCGCGGAAUUCCCGGUGUAGCGGUGAAUGCGUAAGAUCGGAGGAG
rnacentral:rRNA from 1 species